GUGACUGCGUACCUUUUGUAUAAUGGGUCAGCGACUUAUAUUCUGUAGCAAGGUUAACCGAAUAGGGGAGCCGAAGGGAAACCGAGUCUUAACUGGGCGUUAAGUUGCAGGGUAUAGACCCGAAACCCGGUGAUCUAGCCAUGGGCAGGUUGAAGGUUGGGUAACACUAACUGGAGGACCGAACCGACUAAUGUUGAAAAAUUAGCGGAUGACUUGUGGCUGGGGGUGAAAGGCCAAUCAAACCGGGAGAUAGCUGGUUCUCCCCGAAAGCUAUUUAGGUAGCGCCUCGUGAAUUCAUCUCCGGGGGUAGAGCACUGUUUCGGCAAGGGGGUCAUCCCGACUUACCAACCCGAUGCAAACUGCGAAUACCGGAGAAUGUUAUCACGGGAGACACACGGCGGGUGCUAACGUCCGUCGUGAAGAGGGAAACAACCCAGACCGCCAGCUAAGGUCCCAAAGUCAUGGUUAAGUGGGAAACGAUGUGGGAAGGCCCAGACAGCCAGGAUGUUGGCUUAGAAGCAGCCAUCAUUUAAAGAAAGCGUAAUAGCUCACUGGUCGAGUCGGCCUGCGCGGAAGAUGUAACGGGGCUAAACCAUGCACCGAAGCUGCGGCAGCGACACUAUGUGUUGUUGGGUAGGGGAGCGUUCUGUAAGCCUGUGAAGGUGUACUGUGAGGUAUGCUGGAGGUAUCAGAAGUGCGAAUGCUGACAUAAGUAACGAUAAAGCGGGUGAAAAGCCCGCUCGCCGGAAGACCAAGGGUUCCUGUCCAACGUUAAUCGGGGCAGGGUGAGUCGACCCCUAAGGCGAGGCCGAAAGGCGUAGUCGAUGGGAAACAGGUUAAUAUUCCUGUACUUGGUGUUACUGCGAAGGGGGGACGGAGAAGGCUAUGUUGGCCGGGCGACGGUUGUCCCGGUUUAAGCGUGUAGGCUGGUUUUCCAGGCAAAUCCGGAAAAUCAAGGCUGAGGCGUGAUGACGAGGCACUACGGUGCUGAAGCAACAAAUGCCCUGCUUCCAGGAAAAGCCUCUAAGCAUCAGGUAACAUCAAAUCGUACCCCAAACCGACACAGGUGGUCAGGUAGAGAAUACCAAGGCGCUUGAGAGAACUCGGGUGAAGGAACUAGGCAAAAUGGUGCCGUAACUUCGGGAGAAGGCACGCUGAUAUGUAGGUGAAGUCCCUCGCGGAUGGAGCUGAAAUCAGUCGAAGAUACCAGCUGGCUGCAACUGUUUAUUAAAAACACAGCACUGUGCAAACACGAAAGUGGACGUAUACGGUGUGACGCCUGCCCGGUGCCGGAAGGUUAAUUGAUGGGGUCAGCGCAAGCGAAGCUCUUGAUCGAAGCCCCGGUAAACGGCGGCCGUAACUAUAACGGUCCUAAGGUAGCGAAAUUCCUUGUCGGGUAAGUUCCGACCUGCACGAAUGGCGUAAUGAUGGCCAGGCUGUCUCCACCCGAGACUCAGUGAAAUUGAACUCGCUGUGAAGAUGCAGUGUACCCGCGGCAAGACGGAAAGACCCCGUGAACCUUUACUAUAGCUUGACACUGAACAUUGAGCCUUGAUGUGUAGGAUAGGUGGGAGGCUUAGAAGUGUGGACGCCAGUCUGCAUGGAGCCGACCUUGAAAUACCACCCUUUAAUGUUUGAUGUUCUAACGUUGACCCGUGAUCCGGGUUGCGGACAGUGUCUGGUGGGUAGUUUGACUGGGGCGGUCUCCUCCUAAAGAGUAACGGAGGAGCACGAAGGUUGGCUAAUCCUGGUCGGACAUCAGGAGGUUAGUGCAAUGGCAUA
rnacentral:rRNA from 1 species